rnacentral:rRNA from 1 species
AAGGAAUAUUGGUCAAUGGGCGCAAGCCUGAACCAGCCAUGCCGCGUGCAGGAAGACGGCCCUCCGGGUUGUAUACUGCUUUUGUACGGGAAUAAACCUCGCUACGUGCAGCGAGCUGAAUGUACCGUAAGAAUAAGGAUCGGCUAACUCCGUGCCAGCAGCCGCGGUAAUACGGAGGAUCCAAGCGUUAUCCGGAUUUAUUGGGUUUAAAGGGUGCGUAGGCGGCCUAUUAAGUCAGGGGUGAAAGACGGUAGCACAACUAGCGCAGUGCCCUUGAUACUGAUGGGCUUGAAUGAACGAGAGGUAGGCGGAAUGUGGCGUGUAGCGGUGAAAUGCAUAGAUAUGUCGCAGAACACCGAUUGCGAAGGCAGCUUACUACGGUUUUAUUGAUGCUGAGGCGCGAAAGCGUGGGGAUCAAACA